GAGCCUUAUUUUGAGUAAAUUUUUACUAUCUAAAUUUUAUUAUUAAAUAUUCGAUAUAGAAAUAUGGUACUAAAUAAUAUCUUUUUGCUAGAGAGCAUAAGAUUGAGUUGAUGGAGUAAAGUUCGUUAAAUAUUGAGAACAGACAUAGAGAACAAUUUUCUUUGUGGGUAUAGCAUCGGGUGAGAACACAAACUUUACGAAUUAUCUGUGCGCAUACAUAUUAUUUUUUAUAUAUUCAACUAAUAUAAUUUAUUUUACAUAAUGGUAGAUGGCAAUAUUGUACAGAGUAGGAGAGGAAAGA
rnacentral:lncRNA from 1 species